AUUGAACGCUGGCGGCAGGCCUAACACAUGCAAGUCGAGCGGAUGAAGGGAGCUUGCUCCUGGAUUCAGCGGCGGACGGGUGAGUAAUGCCUAGGAAUCUGCCUGGUAGUGGGGUAUAACGUCCGGAAACGGGCGCUAAUACCGCAUACGUCCUGAGGGAGAAAGUGGGGGAUCUUCGGACCUCACGCUAUCAUAUGAGCCUAGGUCGGAUUAGCUAGUUGGUGGGGUAAAGGCCUACCAAGGCGACGAUCCGUAACUGGUCUGAGAGGAUGAUCAGUCACACUGGAACUGAGACACGGUCCAGACUCCUACGGGAGGCAGCAGUGGGGAAUAUUGGACAAUGGGCGAAAGCCUGAUCCAGCCAUGCCGCGUGUGUGAAGAAGGUCUUCGGAUUGUAAAGCACUUUAAGUUGGGAGGAAGGGCAGUAAGUUAAUACCUUGCUGUUUUGACGUUACCAACAGAAUAAGCACCGGCUAACUUCGUG
rnacentral:rRNA from 1 species